rfam:Haliaeetus albicilla contig7474, whole genome shotgun sequence.
AAUGAGGUUUCAUUAGAAACCACCCUCUCAGUCUAAAUAAUUUCUG